rnacentral:rRNA from 1 species
AUACGCAGGUGACAAGCGUUAUCCGGAUUUACUGGGCGUAAAGGGCGUGUAGGCGGUCUUGCAAGUCAGAAGUGAAAUUCCUGAGCUCAACUCGGGCGCUGCUUCUGAAACUGCAGGACUUGAGUGCUGGAGGGGAUAGCGGAAUUCCUAGUGGAGCGGUAAAAUGCGCAGAUAUUAGGAAGAACACCGGUGGCGAAGGCGGCUAUCUGGACAGUAACUGACACUGAGGAGCGAAAGCGUGGGGAGCAAACAGGAUUAGAUGCCCUGGUAGUCCACGCCGUAAACGAUGGAUACUAGGUGUAGGGGGUAUCGACUCCCUCUGUGCCGCAGUUAACACAAUAAGUAUUCCGCCUGGGGAGUACGGCCGCAAGGUUGAAACUCAAAUGAAUUGACGGGG